AACGUAGGACACAAGCGUUAUCCGGAGUUACUGGGCGUAAAGGGCGUGUAGGCGGACGUGUAAGUCUAUUCUGAAAGCUCCUGGCUAAACUGGGAGAGGCGAAUGGAGACUGCAUAUCUAGGGUGCGGAAGAGGGAAGCGGAAUUUCCGGUGUAGCGGUGAAAUGCGUAGAUAUCGGAAGGAACACCAGUGGCGAAAGCGGCUUCCUGGUCCAGCACCGACGUUCAGGCACGAAAGCGUGGGGAGCAAACAGG
rnacentral:rRNA from 1 species